GAUGAACGCUGGCGGCGUGCCUAAUACAUGCAAGUCGAGCGAACAGAUGAGGAGCUUGCUCCUCUGACGUUAGCGGCGGACGGGUGAGUAACACGUGGAUAACCUACCUAUAAGACUGGGAUAACUUCGGGAAACCGGAGCUAAUACCGGAUAAUAUAUUGAACCGCAUGGUUCAAUAGUGAAAGACGGUUUUGCUGUCACUUAUAGAUGGAUCCGCGCCGCAUUAGCUAGUUGGUAAGCUAACGGCUUACCAAGGCAACGAUGCGUAGCCGACCUGAGAGGGUGAUCGGCCACACUGGAACUGAGACACGGUCCAGACUCCUACGGGAGGCAGCAGUAGGGAAUCUUCCGCAAUGGGCGAAAGCCUGACGGAGCAACGCCGCGUGAGUGAUGAAGGUCUUCGGAUCGUAAAACUCUGUUAUUAGGGAAGAACAAAUGUGUAAGUAACUAUGCACGUCUUGACGGUACCUAAUCAGAAAGCCACGGCUAACUACGUG
rnacentral:rRNA from 1 species